rnacentral:rRNA from 1 species
ACUACGGGUGGCAGCAGUGAGGAAUAUUGGUCAAUGGACGCAAGUCUGAACCAGCCAUGCCGCGUGCAGGAAGACGGCUCUAUGAGUUGUAAACUGCUUUUGUACGAGAGUAAACGCAGAUACGCGUAUCUGUCUGAAAGUAUCGUACGAAUAAGGAUCGGCUAACUCCGUGCCAGCAGCCGCGGUAAUACGGAGGAUUCGAGCGUUAUCCGGAUUUAUUGGGUUUAAAGGGAGCGUAGGGGGUCGGAUAAGUUAGUGGUGAAAUCCAGCGGCUCAACUUCGGAAUUGCAUUUGAUACUGUUCGGCUAGAGAGUAGUAGCGGUAGGCGGAAUGCAUGGUGUAGCGGUGAAAUGCUUAGAGAUCAUACAGAACACCGAUUGCGAAGGCAGCUUACCAAGCUACUUCUGACGUUGAGGCACGAAAGCGUGGGGAGCAAACAGGAUUAGAUACCCGAGUAGUC